AAUGAACGUUGGCGGCGUGGAUUAGGCAUGCAAGUCGAGCGAGAAUUUGCGAUUGGAAGCUUCGGCCGAAGAAAGUGAAGGAAAGCGGCAAACGGCGUAGUAAGGCGUAGGUACGUACCCUCGGGUCGGGAAUAGCCAUGGGAAACUGUGGGUAAUGCCCGAUAAUCUCUGCGGAGCAAAGGUGUGAUUCCGCCGGAGGAGCGGCUUACGUGAUAUUAGCUAGUUGGUGGGGUAAUGGCCUACCAAGGCAACGAUGUCUAGGGGGUGUGAGAGCAUGGCCCCCCACGACCGGAACUGAGACACUGUCCGGACACCUACGGGUGGCUGCAGUCGAGAAUCUUCCGCAAUGGGCGAAAGCCUGACGGAGCGACGCCGCGUGGUGGAUGAAGGCCCUUGGGUUGUAAACACCUGUCAGAGGGGAUGAAAUCAUGGUUGGCAAUCCUUCCAUGUUGACAGAGCCUCAGAGGAAGCACGGGCUAAGUACGUGCCAGCAGCCG
rnacentral:rRNA from 1 species